rnacentral:lncRNA from 1 species
UCUUGCGAAAUGUGCGGUUAAAAUUACUGUUCACUUUGACUUAAUGUUUAUCAAACUUUUAAGCCACACUAAAUAGGGUCUAAAUCUGUUGUUUAAAAAAAAUGGAUAAGCACGACAAUUCUACUACAAAUAUUCUAAGGCUAUGUUGAGCCCUAUUUUUUUGGAAAUAUAUUUUGUGCUUAAAAAGUUGAAAAAAGUUUUGGCUUUAUGUGCAAAAAAGGGAAACUUUCAGACACUUGAAUCAUGAUUUGUACAAACUUAGUUCCAAUGUGGAUUACUUUGCUUGUGAAAAUUUUGAUAUCUUUAUAAUGAAUUUAUCUGUACAAGCACUAGAAAAUCAUUGAAAUAAAAUUUCUAAUCAUAUUUUCGAUUGAUUUGUUGUUAGACAGUUAAUCCUAUUUAGACAGUUAAUCCUAUUUGUAAAUGUAGGUACAAUGAACAUUACCAAAUGGUCUGUAGAUUUGUGAUGUUGUCAUGAAAUCUGAUGGUCUUUGACCUAUAUGCCAAGCUUCUCGAAAAUAUCAUGAGGUAAAUCUUCAAUUAAGCUAAGCAUAAAUGUCUUAAUCGAUUUUCUGGGUGUCAAGUUGUAUUAGAGAUGAAAUCACAACUGACAUAAUAGGGAAAUCCUCAAGCUAUGUGGUAUUGAAUUAUAGUUUUAUGUUUUAUAUUAACAAUAAGAUUAACAAGCAUUCAUUCAUUUGGUAAAUUAAUUCUUUUCAAUUUUUUGAGUUUUUACUUCUCUGUACUUGCUUAUGAUCAAUGAUUUCGUCUAUGUAGUUAAUUUAGCCAAUAUGCCGUUAACAUUCAUUUUUCUUCAUAUAAAGAUAGGACAUAAAGUUGCAUUCAUUCCUGGGGGUAUGUUAGCGCAAUAGCUUCAUGCAUUACAACUUUUGCGACGAUAGCUUUGACAAGUAGUUUCUUUGUGAAGUGUUAUAGUUCAAGUAUGUCAAUCAUGAUGCUUACACAUUUACUAUGGUUAGGUCGUCAGUAAUCUGCUUCAUCAUUCUGCUAGAAUCAAGAAAUCUUAAUCUUCUAUUCUCAAGACUCUCUGAAGCAAUGUAAUAUUUAUUUUUUUCUAUACUUUAUCUGUUUCCCCGUUUGAAUUUUCACCGUUUCCAAUUGAUUAAAGUAUUUCCCUAUUUGUUUAUGUAGUGGGUUCACUUUCGUGAAUUUCCAGUUGUCACAUUAUUUUUUAAUGUAUUUAUCUUUUCUCUAUGUAUUUUUCUAUUUCCUAAUGGUUCUAAUUUGAAUGGCUAAAGUUGUAGGAGCAUGUGUUUAUAUUGCAUUUGAAGUUAAAAUAUACCAUUCCAUUCUAUUUAAACUUUCAUGCACAUUUCAAUUAUUUACAAACUUAUAUACUCCAAACUAAAUGUUCCAUUUUGGAUAUAUAAACAUUUGUAAUACUCCUACAGUAUAGAUAAAGUUGAAAUCACAAAGUGAUGUCGUGAAUACGUUGUAUUCUUUGAAAUACUAUUAUUAAUUUCAUUAUGCUUUAUUUACUUCUCAAUUGACGACAUUGGAACUCAUAAAUACCACCUACCAGUUUUUAAAAUAUAUUUGCAAAUAUUACAUCUUCAAUUUAUUGCAUUUCUUCUUUGUCUAUCACUUUCCCAACACUCUACUAAAUGAAAUGCUAAUUUGUUCAAAUAGAAUGCAAAAAUUAGAUUACUUUAAUUGGAAUUUGUUUAUUGUCACUUUAUGAAAUUUAACAAUUCAUUGAGUUCAGAGUUUAAAUUAUGAUUCUACAUUUGUUUUACUAAUUUCCCUAUUUUGCAAAUUACAAUGAUUGUCGGUGAGAAUCCAAAUGAGACAAGAUAGUAUGAUUUUCUUGCUUGUGACAAACAUCAUGUACACUUCCACAAGACAAAUCUUGCUGAAUUUUAGUUCAACCUUACGGUUCUCAUUUAGAUUCACAAUCGUCAAAUGUCUUCGUUUUUUGUAUUUUAUGUAUGAGAUUCGAAUUGCUUAUUGCUUUAGCGAAAUUUAGAACAAAUUUAUUUGAACUACAAAAUAAUGAAUAAUAAAAUGAUUGUCUACAUUAAAUUAUCAAAUACUUGAAUGAAAUAAUUUUUACGCUAACACAACUGGUCCACAAUAGAUUACUAUAGAUCUUUUUCAUUUUUAUAUACGUACAUUAGUUAAUUUAUUUUCCUUCAAAAAUAAUUCAAAGUUUUAUUUAUGUUUGCACUCCCUUAUCUAUGUCAUAUGUAUUCCAGUAUGUUCUCUUAAACUAUAUUAUGAAAAUCAUGAAAAAAAGGAAAAGAGAAUUCCUUCAUUUGCAAAAUCUGAUAUAUAUCUUCGUUAUUUCAUUAGUACAAUCACAUAUUAUAUUAAGAUAAUACUUCUUGAAUUAAAAAUAAUCUGUCCUUAUUCAUAUAAAAUUAGCUCUUACUUUAAAUUUUUGGUUUUCAUAAUAUCAUCCGAAAGUUUAAAUUAUUAUACAUUCUCUGUUCUUCCAAUUAGAUAACAAAUAGUUCGUACUUUGUUUCUUUACUUACAUUAAAUGAAACUAACAAAAAAUUUAUUCAUCUUCUGUAAAAAUUACUAAAAGAAAAAAGGGGCCAAAUGGGGACUUAGUUUCUUUCAUAAUUGUAUUAUGUAUAUUCUUGUUUUAAAUAUAUGUUUUUUGUUGAAUCUAACUACUUGUAAACAUUUGUGACUAAACAAUUUCUCUUCUUCAGGUUUUUUUAUCAUUUUCUUCAGCUCUUAUAGAAACUCGAAAUCAGAAUUUGUAAAUUAUAGUUAUAAAAUGCAAAUUAAACAUUAUAUUUUACCUAUUAAAUCUGUCAAAAUCUUGUGCUGACAAUCCAAUUAACUAAGACCCCAAUGUGUUUAAAUUAGAUUCUCAACACUAGAUUUUUGAAGGUUUACUACGUAGAACUUAAUGGUGAAUCUGCAUUUCAUGUAUCUUAUUUUCAUAUUCUGAUGGUUCACAUGUUCAAUGCAAUUGUUAGUCAGAAAUUCAUCUAACUUUUGCCAUUUUUCAUAGGUAAGUGAAUAUAUUAUUUAUAUCUUCCUUCUGAAGAGAAUUUGUUCCUAAGCAUAUUUCAAGUCGUUUAUCACUAAAUUUAUUUUACACUAUUUUACAUUUCGAUUUAACAAAUUUUUUUCUCUGUAGCGCUAUUUAGUUACAUGAUGCUUCUUCCUUAUAAUAUCUUUGUAUUCGUUAAAUAACUUGUAAAUUUUUGUUAAUCUUUUAACCACUCAUUUUCUUUUAAAACAGUUAUAUUAACUGUAUUUAAUUAUCUUCUCUGCAGAUUUCCACAAAAGUAUAUGGAUUUCGUUAUAUACCACCAAACUUCUUACAAUAAUACAAACACAACUCUGUAAAUUAAUGAACAAGCUAGCACACUCAGAUUCCACUUGUGUUUUGUGAAAAAUCAGUACAUUUAAACACAAGCUCAUUUCUUGUUCUCUUGUCCAUCAGAUGACAUUCAUAUUAUAGUAAACCUUCAAAUGAGAUAAAUCAACCCAUUCAUU